rnacentral:rRNA from 1 species
GUACCUGUACGACUCACCCAAUCAUCUAUCCCACUUAGGCGCUGGUCCAAAGGUUCCUCACGACUUCGGGGUUACAACUCUCGUGGGUGACGGCGGUGUGACAAGGCCGGGAACGUUUCACCGCGGCGUGCGAUCCGCGAUUCUAGCGAUCGNGCUUAGAGUUGGAUCAUGCUCAGGACGAACGCUGGCGGCGUGCCUAAUACAUGCAAGUCGAACGCUUCUUUUUCCACCGGAGCUUGCUCCACCCGAAAAAGAAGAGUGGCGAACGGGUGAGUAACACGUGGGUAACCUGCCCAUCAGAAGGGGAUAACACUUGGAAACAGGUGCUAAUACCGUAUAACAAUCAAAACCGCAUGGUUUUGAUUUCAAAGGCGCUUUCGGGUGUCGCUGAUGGAUGGACCCGCGGUGCAUUAGCUAGUUGGUGAGGUAACGGCUCACCAAGGCCACGAUGCAUAGCCGACCUGAGAGGGUGAUCGGCCACAUUGGGACUGAGACACGGCCCAAACUCCUACGGGAGGCAGCAGUAGGGAAUCUUCGGCAAUGGACGAAAGUCUGACCGAGCAACGCCGCGUGAGUGAAGAAGGUUUUCGGAUCGUAAAACUCUGUUGUUAGAGAAGAACAAGGAUGAGAGUAACUGUUCAUCCCUUGACGGUAUCUAACCAGAAAGCCACGGCUAACUACGUGCCAGCAGCCGCGGUAAUACGUAGGUGGCAAGCGUUGUCCGGAUUUAUUGGGCGUAAAGCGAGCGCAGGCGGUUUCUUAAGUCUGAUGUGAAAGCCCCCGGCUCAACCGGGGAGGGUCAUUGGAAACUGGGAGACUUGAGUGCAGAAGAGGAGAGUGGAAUUCCAUGUGUAGCGGUGAAAUGCGUAGAUAUAUGGAGGAACACCAGUGGCGAAGGCGGCUCUCUGGUCUGUAACUGACGCUGAGGCUCGAAAGCGUGGGGAGCAAACAGGAUUAGAUACCCUGGUAGUCCACGCCGUAAACGAUGAGUGCUAAGUGUUGGAGGGUUUCCGCCCUUCAGUGCUGCAGCUAACGCAUUAAGCACUCCGCCUGGGGAGUACGACCGCAAGGUUGAAACUCAAAGGAAUUGACGGGGGCCCGCACAAGCGGUGGAGCAUGUGGUUUAAUUCGAAGCAACGCGAAGAACCUUACCAGGUCUUGACAUCCUUUGAUCACUCUAGAGAUAGAGCUUCCCCUUCGGGGGCAAAGUGACAGGUGGUGCAUGGUUGUCGUCAGCUCGUGUCGUGAGAUGUUGGGUUAAGUCCCGCAACGAGCGCAACCCUUAUUGUUAGUUGCCAUCAUUCAGUUGGGCACUCUAGCAAGACUGCCGGUGACAAACCGGAGGAAGGUGGGGAUGACGUCAAAUCAUCAUGCCCCUUAUGACCUGGGCUACACACGUGCUACAAUGGGAAGUACAACGAGUCGCGAAGUCGCGAGGCUAAGCUAAUCUCUUAAAGCUUCUCUCAGUUCGGAUUGCAGGCUGCAACUCGCCUGCAUGAAGCCGGAAUCGCUAGUAAUCGCGGAUCAGCACGCCGCGGUGAAUACGUUCCCGGGCCUUGUACACACCGCCCGUCACACCACGAGAGUUUGUAACACCCGAAGUCGGUGAGGUAACCUUUUUGGAGCCAGCCCGCCUAAGGUGGGAAUAG